UACGAAGGGGACUAGCGUUGUUCGGAAUUAUUGGGCGUAAAGAGCUCGUAGGCGGUUUGUUGCGUCGGCUGUGAAAUCCCGAGGCUCAACCUCGGGUCUGCAGUCGAUACGAGCAAACUAGAGUGUUGCAGGGGAGACUGGAAUUCCUGGUGUAGCGGUGAAAUGCGCAGAUAUCAGGAGGAACACCGGUGGCGAAGGCGGGUCUCUGGGCAACAACUGACGCUGAGGAGCGAAAGCGUGGGGAGCGAACAGG
rnacentral:rRNA from 1 species